AUACGUAGGGGGCAAGCGUUAUCCGGAUUUACUGGGUGUAAAGGGAGCGUAGGCGGCAAGGCAAGUCUGAUGUGAAAACCCGGGGCUCAACCCCGGGACUGCAUUGGAAACUGCUUAGCUAGAGUGUCGGAGAGGUAAGUGGAAUUCCUAGUGUAGCGGUGAAAUGCGUAGAUAUUAGGAGGAACACCAGUGGCGAAGGCGGCUUACUGGACGAUAACUGACGUUGAGGCUCGAAAGCGUGGGGAGC
rnacentral:rRNA from 1 species